AACGCACCUUGCGCUCCUUGGUAUUCCGAGGAGCAUGCCUGUUUGAGUGUCAUGAAAUCUUCAACCUACAAGCUUCUUAAUUGAGUUUGUAAGGCUUGGACUUGGAGGCUUGUCGGUCCUUGUCGGUCGGCUCCUCUUAAAUGCAUUAGCUUGGUUCCUUGCGGAUCGGCUUGUCGGUGUGAUAAUGUCUACGCCGCGACCGAGAAGCGUUUUGGCUGAGCUUCUAACCGUCUCGUUAUAAAGACAACAUUAUGACCUCUGACCUCAAAUCAGGUAGGACUACCCGCUGAACUUAA
rnacentral:misc_RNA from 1 species